UACCAACUGAAGAAUCCCGAACAGGACGAAACGCGUGUCCUGGUU
rnacentral:hammerhead_ribozyme from 1 species